CCUGGUUGAUCCUGCCAGUAGUCAUAUGCUUGUCUCAAAGAUUAAGCCAUGCAUGUCUCAGUACAAGCCAAAUUAAGGUGAAACCGCGAAAGGCUCAUUAAAUCAGUUAUGGUUCCUUAGAUCGUACCCACAUUUACUUGGAUAACUGUGGUAAUUCUAGAGCUAAUACAUGCAAACAGAGCUCCGACCGGAGACGGAAGGAGUGCUUUUAUUAGAUCAAAACCAAUCGGCGGGAAUAGCAUUUCGGUGUUAUUUUUCGUCGCACUGUUUGGUGACUCUGAAUAACUUUUGGCUGAUCGCACGGUCUUGCACCGGCGACGCAUGUUUCAAAUGUCUGCCUUAUCAAUUGUCGAUGGUAGGUUCUGCGCUUACCAUAGUUGUAACGGGUAACUGGUAAUCAGGAUUAGAUUCCGGACAUGGAGCCUGAGAAACGGCCACCACAUCUAAGGAAAGCAGCAGGCGCGCAAAUUUCCCACUCCCGGCACGGGGACGUAGUGACAAAAAAUAACGAUAUGUGACUCAUCCGAGACCUCAAAAUCAGAAUGAGUACACUUUAAAUCCUUUUACAAGGAUCAAUUGGCAGGUAAGUCUGGUACCAGCAGCCGCGGUAAUUCCAGCUCCAAUAGCGUAUAUUAAAGUAGUUGCAGUUAAAAAGCUUGUAGUUGAAUCUGUGUUUCGCGCUGUCGGUUCACCGUCCGCGUUGUUAACUGGCACGUCUCAAGAAACGUCCUGGCGCUGGAUGUGAGAGUUUUUGUAUACUUUUCCAAAUGUAUUAUGCGUGUGCAAAUUAUUGUUUUAUAUUGUUCUUGGUAUUUGUAAAUAAAUCUAGUGUGGUUUAUUUAUUAUGCUAUUUUAUAUUUUGACAUUUUUUGUUACUGUAUAGUGCUAUAAGGUUUGAGAGUUACAAAUUAUUUCAUAUCUGACUUAUAAAAUCUUGUCGCGGUGCUCCUAACUAAAUGUCGACGAUGGCUGGCACGUUUACUUUGAACAAAUUAGAAUGCUUAAAGCAUGCUAAAAUUUCGCCAAAAUACUGUGUGCAUGGAAUAAUGAAACAAAACCUCGGUUCUAUUUUGUUGGUUUUCGAAACACCGAGGUGAGGUUUAAUAGGGGCAGAUGGGAGAAUUCGUAUUGCGAGGUUAGAGGAGAAAUUCUCGGUUCGUCGCAAGGCGGACAGAAGCGAAAGCAUUUGCUAAAAAUGUUUUCAUUAAUCUAGAAUGAAAGUCAGCAAUUCGAAGGCGAUUAGAAACCGCCCUAGUUCUGACCAUAAACGANUAUAUAUAUAUAUACAUAUUAAAAUAAAUUUUUGUUUUGUGUAUAUAAAUUUAUAAUAUUAUGUGGUAUGUGGAUAGUUGAUAUAACAUAGAGUGUUUCUGGUAUAAUUAAGAAAUUGUUUUAAAUAUAUUUAUCAACUAUUAAAUAAUAUUAAGAACACAACACAUUUUAUUAUAACUUGUUGUAUAAAAAAAACAUUUGUAAAAAAAUAUAAAUAUUUAUAGAGUGUUAUGAUUGUUUUAUUCUUAAAUUUCUCUUUUGAUAAUAUCUUAAGAAAAAAAAAAUAAGAAAAAACUAUAAUAAUUUUAUAUUAUGCGACCUCAGAGCAGAUGUGUCUACCCGCCUAAUUAAAGAAUAUUAUUAAGCGGAGGAAAAGAAAAUAACAAGGAUAAUCUUAGUAGCGACAAACGAACAGGGAAAAGCCCAGCACUAAAGCCCGUGGUCGGUAACAGCUACUAGGCAAUGUAGUGUUUGGAAGAGUUUGUUUAACCUGAGUAUUAUUAGCGCGUACAAGUCCUUCUUGAAGGGAGUCGCACGCUUAUAGGGAGUGCCAGGCAGUUAAACCUGAGAAUCUCGAAAGUUCGAAAGAAGAGAUUCAUUUGUUUUACCGUUAGUAAACAGUAUAGAUAGUAUUUGGGACGUAUAUGAUGUAUAAUAUUUUUUAAAUGUUAUUUUUAUUGGUACGCACUACUAUUUAUUGUAUAAAUUAUUAACGAAGGCAUGCACUUCUCUUCUUGUAGGACGUCGUGACCCGUUAAGUGUUUUGUAUAUAUUCCAAUUACGGGCCUAAUAUAGUAGAUUAA
rnacentral:rRNA from 1 species